AUUGCAUCAGAACCUUCACCAGGAGACAUUUAUCCUCCAACAAUGCUCUUAUUUCCAGAGACCUGGUUGCUAAGCCAAGCCAGUGAAGAAGAUCAUGCAGUUAAGUUACAGAAAAGCAUUCAAGAUGGCAGCAAAAGAUAAAAUUUCCACUUACUCAGCGUUUUACUUCGUCAAUGCUGGGGACAAAAUCCAGGGCCUCAUCAUGCUUGCUGGGGAAGCACUCUACCACCGACCCACAUCCAUAGCCCUAAAACAUAAAAAUAUGUGUGGUUAUUUACAGUGUAUGUGUGUGUAUGUGUAUC
rnacentral:lncRNA from 1 species